UGGGGAAUAUUGGACAAUGGGGGCAACCCUGAUCCAGCCAUGCCGCGUGCGGGAAGAAGGCCUUCGGGUUGUAAACCGCUUUUGUCAGGGAAGAAAUCUCUUGGGCUAAUACCCCAGAAGGAUGACGGUACCUGAAGAAUAAGCACCGGCUAACUACGUGCCAGCAGCCGCGGUAAUACGUAGGGUGCAAGCGUUAAUCGGAAUUACUGGGCGUAAAGCGUGCGCAGGCGGUUAUGCAAGACAGGUGUGAAAUCCCCGGGCUUAACCUGGGAACUGCACUUGUGACUGCGUAGCUGGAGUACGGCAGAGGGGGAUGGAAUUCCGCGUGUAGCAGUGAAAUGCGUAGAUAUGUGGAGGAAUACCGAUGGCGAAGGCAGCCCCCUGGGAUAACACUGACGCUCAUGCACGAAAGCGUGGGGAGCAAACAGGAUUAGAUACCCGAGUAGUCCCUGAGCGGGCUGGCAAGGCGCAU
rnacentral:rRNA from 1 species